rnacentral:rRNA from 1 species
GCGCCUAUACAUGCAAGUCGAACGAAGUAGCAAUACUUAGUGGCAGACGGGUGAGUAACAUGUGGGUAUCUUCCCUUUGGUGAGGAAUAACACGAGGAAACUUGUGCUAAUACCUCAUAAGUCUUUACGGAGAAAGCUUUAUGCGCCAUUGGAUGAGCCUGCACUUGAUUAGUUUGUUGGUGGGGUAAUGGCCUACCAAGACAAUGAUCAAUAGCUGAUUUGAGAGGAUGAUCAGCCACAUUGGGACUGAGACACGGCCCAAACUCCUACGGGAGGCAGCAGUAGGGAAUCUUGCACAAUGGAGGAAACUCUGAUGCAGCGAUGUCGCGUGAGUGAAGAAGGCCUUUGGGUUGUAAAGCUCUUUCGUCGGGGAAGAAAAUGACUGUACCCGAAUAAGAAGGUCCGGCUAACUUCGUGCCAGCAGCCGCGGUAAUACGAAGGGACCUAGCGUAGUUCGGAAUUACUGGGCUUAAAGAGUUCGUAGGUGGUUAAAAAAGUUGAUGGUGAAAUCCCAGAGCUUAACUCUGGAACUGCCAUCAAAACUUUUUAGCUAGAGUAUGAUAGAGGAAAGCAGAAUUUCUAGUGUAGAGGUGAAAUUCGUAGAUAUUAGAAAGAAUACCAACUGCGAAGGCAGCUUUCUGGAUCAUUACUGACGCUGAGGAACGAAAGCAUGGGUAGCGAAGAGGAUUAGAUACCCUCGUAGUCCAUGCCGUAAACGAUGUGUGUUAGACGUUGGAAAUUUAUUUUCAGUGUCGCAGUGAAAACAAUAAACACACCGCCUGGGGAGUACGACCGCAAGGUUAAAACUCAAAUGAAUUGACGGGGACCCGCACAAGUAGUGGAGCAUGUGGUUUAAUUCGAAGAUACGCGCAGAACCUUACCAACACUUGACAUGUUCGUCGCGACUCUAGAGAUUAGAGUUUUCGGUUCGGCCGGACGAAACACAGGUGCUGCAUGGCUGUCGUCAGCUCGUGUCG